GGCAAGCAGGCCCGGCCAAGGCAGGUGGUUUCUGUCAACAGUUCCCUAACAGGAGAGCUGAGGCUGCAAGGUAAACCAACUGAAUUCCAAUGAAUGGCAUACGGCUCUGAGAAGAGAUGAAUCUAAAGGAUGAUUUCAUUCCUGACAGAACAUUAGAGGAAAGUAUUGCUGUCAUCAAAGCAGAAUUUAAAUCUCAACAACCAGAUCAACUGGAAUCGAAGGGAUGAUGACGGUGACCUUUUCUGACCCUCAUGACUUCAAUCAACUAAAGCUUGGACUCUAUCAUCCAAACCCCUUCAUGAAUAUGCAUGUACCAAUAGCUUAAACUUCCCCAGUUUCGCUGUUCAGAGAGACACUUCUUUGGGAAAAACCCCUGGUAUUCUCCUUACUUGCAGCAAGUAAUAAGUCCUUCUCCAGCAAUCUGGCUUGGUUGUGUCUUUUGGCGACACCACCAAGAGGCUAACCCAGUUUUCAGGUAACAUUUCUACAUGAUUGAGCCUAAUUUAUACCUAUUCAUAUUUUUCUAUAUACACAGCAUUUAUUAUAUAUACAUAGUAAAAUGUGAUACAUUGUAUAAGAGGAAAGAUUGGACUAGCAAGGAUUCCUAAGCUGGUUUGGGGAGAGGGUGAAGAAAACUUAGGAAGUCAUCUGAGCUGGACUUUAAAGCUAUUUAAAGAAGGACCAUGUCUGUUUGUUCUCCACUCUCUAUGCAUAGGAAUUAUUCCGGUACUGCAAAAGGAUGUGGAAAUGGAAAAAAGAAAUUGUUUGGAGUAGAAAUAAUAGAUAGACAUCCUUAAAGGAGGAGGAAGGACAGUUUAACAUUUACUUUUUUUGAGGCCCUAAAAUGUGCUAAAAAUGCUCUGUGAGUAGGAUUGAAGAUAAAUUUGAGGAAUGGUGGUUAGUUGGUAAGUACGUCCACACCUGGUGCUUCACAGUUUUCAGUUACAUUCAAAAAGAGGUCAUUUACUUGGAAAGAACCAGAUAGCUGGCAACAUAAUUGGGCUACAGCUGAAGCCCUUAAACCUCUAAACUACAAUUUGUAGGAGGAAAUAAAUUCCCUUUGUUAUUUAAGCCAGUUUCUGUUAUUUGCCACUGAAAGCAGCUGAGCUUUAUGUCAGAUAAGAUAAAGGUUAGAAGCAGAAGAAGUGACAAAGUCUCCCUGUUCUGCUCUAAUGUGGUCUAAAGGGCAAUAGUAGCACCACCCUGGAACCUGUUAGAAAAAGCAAAUUCUUGGGCCUCAUUCCAGACCUACUAAAUCUCUGGGGUGCCCCCAGGGAUCCUUAACAAGCUUUCCAGGUGAUUUUUCAGCAUGCUGAAAUUUGAGAACCACUGCAGUCAGCUCCUUAUUUGCAUUUCUAACAAGCCACAGGUGUAGCUGAUGGCCUUGGAAAGCAGACCAGCUUUUGAGUAGCACCUCUGAAAUACUCUGUUCCCUGAGCGGACGUUGAGACACACACUUCAGAGCUUUGAGGGAUGCC